rnacentral:rRNA from 1 species
GACGAACGCUGGCGGCGUGCUUAACACAUGCAAGUCGAGCGGGAAACUUCGGUUUCUAGCGGCGGACGGGUGAGUAACACGUGGGCAACCUGCCUCACAAUGAGGGAUAGCCCUCCGAAAGGAGGAUUAAUACCUCAUAACACAAGAGAAACACAUGUUUCUCUUGCCAAAGAAUUUCGUUGUGAGAUGGGCCCGCGGCGCAUUAGCUUGUUGGUGAGGUAACGGCUCACCAAGGCUUCGAUGCGUAGCCGACCUGAGAGGGUGAUCGGCCACAUUGGAACGGAGACGCGGUCCAGACUCCUACGGGAGGCAGCAGUGGGGAAUACUGCAAAAUGGAGGAAACUCUGAUGCAGCAACGCCGCGUGAGUGAUGAAGGUCUUCGGAUUGUAAAGCUCUGUCUUCUGGGACGAUAAUGACGGUACCAGAGGAGGAAGCCACGGCUAACUACGUGCCAGCCGCCGCAGUAA